rnacentral:lncRNA from 1 species
GCCUGGCAAAGUCACAGGAGGUAUCUCCAUGGCACCGCAUCAGCCCUCACAGAGCAGGAAACCUUGAUUUCUACAGAGGCUGUUUCCUCCCAGCCUUGUGCAAGGCCCACUGCAGAGACAAAAUUAUGGUGGCAAAAGUGUGAAUGCCAAGGCCACACUGGCCUCCAUCCCUGGGAUUUGCUGGUAGAAGAAAGGGAAUCAGCGCUGACUGAGCUCCUACUAUGUGCCCUUCCUGGGCCUGGCACUGGAAUCACAGGAUGAAUGAAUAAGGCAUAUUUCCUGCCCUGAGGAGGCGUCUAUAGGGGAAGUCGGAAUUAAGGCACCUCCAGAAUUCUGAGGUCAAGGGAAUGUCAACAGAGCUGUGAACAAAAUGCCCAAAGCCAUGAAAAUCUAGAGAGAGAGACUUGAAGGGGAGGAAUGGGGUAGGAGCUGGUGCCGAGGAUGAGAGGGGAGAAUUCACCUGGUGGAGAACUGACAGGCCAGGCUGAGGUCAGGAUGGUGGAGGAGGUGGUGGAGGUGAUGAGGUACCAGAGCAACCUCGAAGAAAGCUGAGAGGCAGGAGACCGCCAAAGGCAAACUUGGAACACCUGGUGACUCCGACUAACUCCAUGUGAUGUCCUUGAGGACUUUUAUGAUACUGCUACCACUGCUAAUAGUAAUAAAAGUCACUAUUUAAUGUGUUUACUAUGAGCUGGGUGUGCAAAUAUUGUGGAAAGAGUGAACAUAUGUGCAGAAUGCUUAAUAAACGUGAUUUCCUUUUAUCUUCAAAAGAA